GACGAACGCUGGCGGCGUGCCUAAUACAUGCAAGUAGAACGCUGAAGGAGGAGCUUGCUUCUCUGGAUGAGUUGCGAACGGGUGAGUAACGCGUAGGUAACCUGCCUGGUAGCGGGGGAUAACUAUUGGAAACGAUAGCUAAUACCGCAUAAUAGUAGAUGUUGCAUGACAUUUGCUUAAAAGGUGCAAUUGCAUCACUACCAGAUGGACCUGCGUUGUAUUAGCUAGUUGGUGAGGUAACGGCUCACCAAGGCGACGAUACAUAGCCGACCUGAGAGGGUGAUCGGCCACACUGGGACUGAGACACGGCCCAGACUCCUACGGGAGGCGGCAGUAGGGAAUCUUCGGCAAUGGACGGAAGUCUGACCGAGCAACGCCGCGUGAGUGAAGAAGGUUUUCGGAUCGUAAAGCUCUGUUGUAAGAGAAGAACGAGUGUGAGAGUGGAAAGUUCACACUGUGACGGUAUCUUACCAGAAAGGGACGGCUAACUACGUG
rnacentral:rRNA from 1 species